rnacentral:rRNA from 1 species
UACGAAGGGGGCUAGCGUUGCUCGGAAUCACUGGGCGUAAAGCGCACGUAGGCGGCUUUCUAAGUCAGGGGUGAAAUCCCGGAGCUCAACUCCGGAACUGCCUUUGAUACUGGAAGGCUCGAGUCCGGGAGAGGUGAGUGGAACUGCGAGUGUAGAGGUGAAAUUCGUAGAUAUUCGCAAGAACACCAGUGGCGAAGGCGGCUCACUGGCCCGGUACUGACGCUGAGGUGCGAAAGCGUGGGGAGCAAACAGG